rnacentral:rRNA from 1 species
UGAGUAACACGUGAAUCAUCUACCUUCGAGUGGGGAAUAACUGAGAGAAAUCUUAGCUAAUACCGCAUAACACUUACGAGUCAAAGCAGCAAUGCGCUUGAAGAGGAGUUCGCGGCAGAUUAGUUAGUUGGCAGGGUAAUGGCCUACCAAGACGAUGAUCGGUAUCCGGCCUGAGAGGGCGCACGGACACACUGGAACUGAAACACGGUCCAG